rnacentral:rRNA from 1 species
UGGGGAAUAUUGGACAAUGGGCGAAAGCCUGAUCCAGCCAUGCCGCGUGUGUGAAGAAGGUAUUCGGAUUGUAAAGCACUUUAAGUUGGGAGGAAGGGCAUUAACCUAAUACGUUAGUGUUUUGACGUUACCGACAGAAUAAGCACCGGCUAACUCUGUGCCAGCAGCCGCGGUAAUACAGAGGGUGCAAGCGUUAAUCGGAAUUACUGGGCGUAAAGCGCGCGUAGGUGGUUUGUUAAGUUGGAUGUGAAAUCCCCGGGCUCAACCUGGGAACUGCAUUCAAAACUGACUGACUAGAGUAUGGUAGAGGGUGGUGGAAUUUCCUGUGUAGCGGUGAAAUGCGUAGAUAUAGGAAGGAACACCAGUGGCGAAGGCGACCACCUGGACUAAUACUGACACUGAGGUGCGAAAGCGUGGGGAGCAAACA